rnacentral:rRNA from 1 species
AGCAGCCGCGGUAAUUCCAGCUCCAAUAGCGUAUAUUAAAGUUGUUGCAGUUAAAAAGCUCGUAGUUGAAUUUCGGGGUUUAUCCGUUGGUCGGGCUUUUGGGUCUGUACUGGCGUGAUGAAUUCCUACCUUCUGAAUAACCAGCAUGCCAUUAAUUUGGUGCGCUGGGGAAGCAGGACUGUUACCUUGAAAAAUUAGAGUGCUUAAAGCAGGCUAUUGCCUGAAUACAUUAGCAUGGAAUAAUGAAAUAGGACGCAUGGUUCUAUUUUGUUGGUUUCUAGGAUCACCGUAAUGAUUAAUAGGGAUAGUUGGGGGCAUUAGUAUUCAAUUGUCAGAGGUGAAAUUCUUGGAUUUAUUGAAGACUAACUUCUGCGAAAGCAUUUGCCAAGGAUGUUUUCAUUAAUCAAGAACGAAAGUUAGGGGAUCGAAGACGAUCAGAUACCGUCGUAG